CAGCCGCCGCGGGAAUACGUAGGGUGCGAGCGUUAAUCGGAAUUACUGGGCGUAAAGCGUGCGCAGGCGGUUUUGUAAGACAGGCGUGAAAUCCCCGGGCUCAACCUGGGAAUGGUGCUUGUGACUGCAAAGCUAGAGUGCGGCAGAGGGGGAUGGAAUUCCGCGUGUAGCAGUGAAAUGCGUAGAUAUGCGGAGGAACACCGAUGGCGAAGGCAAUCCCCUGGGCCUGCACUGACGCUCAUGCACGAAAGCGUGGGGAGCAAACAGGAUUAGAUACCCCCGUAGUCCCUGUCUCUUAUAC
rnacentral:rRNA from 1 species